CCUACGGGUGGCAGCAGUGGGGAAUAUUGGGCAAUGGGCGCAAGCCUGAUGCAGCAACGCUGCGUGAAGGAAGAAGGCUUUCGGGUUGUAAACUUCUUUUAAGGGGGACGAACAAAUGACGGUACCCCUUGAAUAAGCCACGUCUAACUACGUGCCAGCAGCCGCGGUAAUACGUAGGUGGCAAGCGUUAUCCGGAUAUAUUGGGUGUAAAGGGCGUGUAGGUGGGGGCGCAAGUCAGAUGUGAAAACUCAGGGCUCAACCCUGGGCCUGCCUUUGAAACUGUGUCUCUUGAGUUCUAGAGAGGCAAGCGGAAUUCCGUGUGUAGCGGUGAAAUGCGUAGAUAUACGGAGGAACACCAGUGGCGAAGGCGGAUUGCUGGACAGUAACUGACGCUGAGGCGCGAAAGCGUGGGGAGCAAACAGGAUUAGAUACCCCUGUAGUC
rnacentral:rRNA from 1 species